AUGCACGCUGGCGGCGUGCCUAAUACCUGCAAGUCGCGCGAACAGACGAGGAGCUUGCUCCUCUGACGUUAGCGGCGGACGGGUGAGUAACACGUGGAUAACCUACCUAUAAGACUGGGAUAACUUCGGGAAACCGGAGCUAAUACCGGAUAAUAUAUUGAACCGCAUGGUUCAAUAGUGAAAGACGGUUUUGCUGUCACUUAUAGAUGGAUCCGCGCCGCAUUAGCUAGUUGGUAAGGUAACGGCUUACCAAGGCAACGAUGCGUAGCCGACCUGAGAGGGUGAUCGGCCACACUGGAACUGAGACACGGUCCAGACUCCUACGGGAGGCAGCAGUAGGGAAUCUUCCGCAAUGGGCGAAAGCCUGACGGAGCAACGCCGCGUGAGUGAUGAAGGUCUUCGGAUCGUAAAACUCUGUUAUUAGGGAAGAACAAAUGUGUAAGUAACUAUGCACGUCUUGACGGUACCUAAGCAGAAAGCCACGGCUAACUACGU
rnacentral:rRNA from 1 species